GACGAACGCUGGCGGCGUGCCUAAUACAUGCAAGUUGAGCGAUGAAGAUUGGUGCUUGCACCAAUUUGAAGAGCAGCGAACGGGUGAGUAACGCGUGGGGAAUCUGCCUUUGAGCGGGGGACAACAUUUGGAAACGAAUGCUAAUACCGCAUAAUAACUUUAAACAUAAGUUUUAAGUUUGAAAGAUGCAAUUGCAUCACUCAAAGAUGAUCCCGCGUUGUAUUAGCUAGUUGGUGAGGUAAAGGCUCACCAAGGCGAUGAUACAUAGCCGACCUGAGAGGGUGAUCGGCCACAUUGGGACUGAGACACGGCCCAAACUCCUACGGGAGGCAGCAGUAGGGAAUCUUCGGCAAAGGACGAAAGUCUGACCGAGCAACGCCGCGUGAGUGAGAAGGUUUUCGGAUCGUAAAACUCUGUUGGUAGAGAAGAACGUUGGUGAGAGUGGAAAGCUCAUCAAGUGACGGUAACUACCCAGAAAGGGACGGCUAACUACGUG
rnacentral:rRNA from 1 species